UGUUUCCUCUGCGGUGUUUUAUUUAGGCUUUGUGCCUAGUAUAUUUUACUAUUUAUACACUGCAUAUUGUCCCAGUUUUAAUUGUUUAUUUGUGCAAUAAAUUUUGGAGUCUGCACUUUGUAUCCUGUGCUGCUCUCCUCAAGGAUAUCGUUUAGCCUUUUUAGGCACCCUCCUGCACAUUAUGUAGAGCCUGGAACGGCUUUAAAUCCUGUGAGUUUUAC